rnacentral:rRNA from 1 species
UACAGAGGGUGCAAGCGUUAAUCGGAUUUACUGGGCGUAAAGCGUGCGUAGGCGGUUGGUUAAGUCGGAUGUGAAAGCCCUGGGCUCAACCUGGGAAUGGCAUUCGAUACUGAUCAGCUAGAGAACGGUAGAGGGAGGCGGAACUCCAGGUGUAGCAGUGAAAUGCGUAGAUAUCUGGAAGAACACCGAUGGCGAAGGCAACCUCCUGGGCCUGUUCUGACGCUGAGGCACGAAAGCGUGGGGAGCAAACAGG